rnacentral:misc_RNA from 1 species
AAGUCGUAACAAGGUUUCCGUAGGUGAACCAGCGGAGGGAUCAUUACAGAGUUGCAAAACUCCAAACCCUUGUGAACAUUUCAUACCGUUGCUUCGGCAGGCGGGGCCCAGGGGGGUUUCCACUAUAACGCCUGCCGAAAGACCAAAACUCAGCUAUCUAUGCCUUCUGAAGAAAAGACAAAUAGUUAAAA